rnacentral:lncRNA from 1 species
ACUAAGAACCAAUGGCCUGUAUAUGGUGAAACUGGCUUGAAACUAAUGAAAUUUAUCGAUUCCAACUUUCAGUCAGACCAUGAUAAUAGUAAUAGUGUGUCAGGUUAUAUUUUUAUCCUAAACAGUGGAUCGAUCUGUUGAAAGUUUUAAGUAGCACACUGUUACUGACUCUAUUUGUGAAGCAGAGUAUAUCGCAGCAUCUGAUGCUGUGAAGGAAGCUGUGUGGUUGUGAAAGUUCAUCGAUGAGCUUGAAGUGGCACCC